rnacentral:rRNA from 1 species
UAGGGAAUCUUCGGCAAUGGGGGGAACCCUGACCGAGCAACGCCGCGUGAGUGAAGAAGGUUUUCGGAUCGUAAAGCUCUGUUGGUAAGGAAGAACGAGUGUGAGAAUGGAAAGUUCAUGCUGUGACGGUACUUAACCAGAAAGGGACGGCUAACUACGUGCCAGCAGCCGCGGUAAUACGUAGGUCCCGAGCGUUGUCCGGAUUUAUUGGGCGUAAAGCGAGCGCAGGCGGUUAGAAAAGUCUGAAGUGAAAGGCAGUGGCUCACCCAUUGUAGGCUUUGGAAACUGUUUAACUUGGGUGCAGAAGGGGAGGGUGGAUUUCCAUUUGUAGCGGUGAAAUGCUAAAAUAUAUGAAGGAACACCGGUGGCGAAAGCGGCUCUCUGGUCUGUAACUGACGCUGAGGCUCGAAAGCGUGGGGAGCGAACAGG